rnacentral:rRNA from 1 species
UACGGAGGGUGCAAACGUUGCUCGGAAUCAUUGGGCGUAAAGCGCACGUAGGCGGUCUGCUAUGUCGGGUGUGAAAUCCCUCGGCUUAACCGAGGAAGUGCAUUCGAAACUGGCAGACUUGAAUACUCAAGAGGGUCUCGGAAUUCCCGGUGUAGAGGUGAAAUUCGUAGAUAUCGGGAGGAACACCAGUGGCGAAGGCGGAGACCUGGGGAGAUAUUGACGCUGAGGAGCGAAAGCCAGGGGAGCAAACGGG